rnacentral:misc_RNA from 1 species
GUCUUUCGAUUCUCUUCUCGCAAGCCGACCGAUCGACGACGAUAGGAGGGCGCAGCGGGGCGAGGAACGCGCCCGCCGGCAUCCUCCGCAUCCGAAAGCGCGCUGAGGCGCCGAGGUCCGUGUGCCCCCCCACCCAGCGGGGGG